AGACAUAGGGGGCUAGCGUUGUCCGGAAUUACUGGGCGUAAAGAGCACGUAGGCGGGGAUUUAAGUCAGGUGUGAAAGACCGCAGCUUAACUGCGGGGUUGCACUUGAAACUGAAUUUCUUGAGGGCAGGAGAGGAAAGCAGAAUUCCUGGUGUAGCGGUGAAAUGCGUAGAAAUCAGGAGGAAUACCGGUGGCGAAGGCGGCUUUCUGGACUGACCCUGACGCUGAGGUGCGAAAGCGUGGGUAGCAAACAGGAUUAGAUACCCUGGUAGUCCACGCCGUAAACUAUGGAUACUAGGUGUAGGAGGUAUCGACCCCUUCGGUGCCGCAGCUAACGCAAUAAGUAUCCCGCCUGGGGAGUACGGUCGCAAGGCUGAA
rnacentral:rRNA from 1 species